rnacentral:rRNA from 1 species
CCCAGACUCCUACGGGAGGCAGCAGUGGGGAAUAUUGCACAAUGGGGGAAACCCUGAUGCAGCGACGCCGCGUGAGUGAAGAAGUAAUUCGUUAUGUAAAGCUCUAUCAGCAGGGAAGAAAAUGACGGUACCUGAGUAAGAAGCCCCGGCUAACUACGUGCCAGCAGCCGCGGUAGUACGUAGGGGGCAAGCGUUAUCCGGAUUUACUGGGUGUAAAGGGAGCGUAGACGGCAGUGCAAGUCUGGAGUGAAAUGCGGGGGCUCAACCCCCGGACUGCUCUGGAAACUGUACGGCUGGAGUGCAGGAGAGGUAAGUGGAAUUCCUAGUGUAGCGGUGAAAUGCGUAGAUAUUAGGAGGAACACCAGUGGCGAAGGCGGCUUACUGGACUGUAACUGACGUUGAGGCUCGAAAGCGUGGGGAGCAAACAGGAUUAGAUACCCCAGUA